UCCAUAGUUGCACACGUAAAAAGUGACUGGUCCAAUCUGUUGUAGUGUUUCUGAUCAAUACUGUUCGAGGUAACCUGAAAUUGCUGCUUAGGAUAGCUACAGCAUUGUGUUAUAGUCAAGCCUAAUACUUAAGUUGCUUUAUAUCUGGAUAGGAAAUUUAGGAUGCUCAUGAGUUAUCCGAAAACAUUUUGCUUCUGUAGUCGCUGGUCAUCCUUAGCUAACAAUUUAACAUAGAUCCAGUGUAGUGUUUCUGAUCAAUACUGUUCGAGGUAACCUGAAAUUGCUGCUUAGGAUAGCUACAGCAUUGUGUUAUAGUCAAGCCUAAUACUUAAGUUGCUUUAUAUCUGGAUAGGAAAUUUAGGAUGCUCAUGAGUUAUCCGAAAACAUUUUGCUUCUGUAGUCGCUGGUCAUCCUUAGCUAACAAUUUAACUUUUUUUUUUUUUUUUUUUUUUUUUUUUUGGGGGGGGUGGGGGGAGGUUCUCGUACUAACUUGGUGGUGUUUCUUUUGAUGAAAUGUACUAUUUGAUGGUGUUCACUUGGCAUUGUU
rnacentral:lncRNA from 1 species